ACUAACGUGUUUUCGGAUUCUACAAAUUUCAACGUGUUUGUGGAUCUAUAAUUGUUUUCACUGGAAGAGUGUCUACUAGAAAUACUGCGAAACGAAAAUGUCUUUGAAAGUAUAUGCGACCCAACAAAACGUGAUAAGGUCUUUCGACGAAACUUUUGCUGUAAGACAUGAGAACCAAAACGGAGGAGCGAGGGAUUCUAUAAAAAUUCAAGUGGAAUCUCCUUCGAACAUCACUUCACAAUCCAUCGCUCUAACUAAUGGUAAACAAGUAAUGGGAACCUACGCUGAUCUUAUACAAAAAACGCGAGAUGCGUUUUAUAGCGGAAAAACCCGACCUUUGGAUUGGCGGAUUAAACAGCUGAAACAAUUUAUAUGCAUGUUAGAGGAAAACAGAGCUGAAAUUCAAGCAGCGCUUGCAUCUGACUUACGACGGUGCAAAUUUGAAUCAAAUGUCUUAGAGAUUGACUAUACCAUAAAUGAUAUAAAGCACAUGCUUAUGAAUAUUAAGGAAUGGGCAGCUCCGGAGAAGCCUCCUAAAGGAUUAGUCAACAUGUUGGAUGGCGUUGAAAUACGCAAGGAUCCUUAUGGUGUAGUUCUUGUAAUAGGUGCAUGGAAUUAUCCAUUGCAAUUGGCUUUAGUACCUAUGAUGGGAGCACUCGCUGCUGGUAAUUGUGUUAUUCUUAAACCAUCUGAAGUUUCUCCAGCUACAGCUAAAGUCAUUGCUGAUAUUGUUCCAAAGUAUUUGGAUAAUGAGUGUUUUCAUGUCAUCCUUGGAGGAGUUGCAGAGACUACUGAAAUUUUAAAACAAAGAUUCGACUACAUAUUUUAUACAGGAUCAACUGCAGUGGGAAAGAUUGUUCGCGAAGCUGCAAAUAAAUAUCUGACACCAGUUACAUUGGAACUUGGAGGCAAAAGUCCUGUGUAUUUGGAUAAUACUGUAGAAAUGAAUAUUGCCGUGAAGCGUAUCUUAUGGGGCAAGUGCGUUAAUGUAGGGCAGACGUGUAUUGCACCUGAUUACGUUUUAUGCACCGCAGAAGUUCAGAAUCAAUUUGUUCAAGAAGCUAAAAAAGUUCUUAAGGAAUGGUACGGAGAGAACCCAAAAGAAAGUCCAGAUUUGUGUCGUAUCAUCAAUGAAAAUCACUUUCAACGUUUAGUAAAUUUCUUGACGGGAAACGGUGAAGUGGCAAUCGGGGGUGAAACUGAUCCCAGCGAAAAGUAUAUAUCGCCAACUGUUUUAACCGAUGUUAAACCGACCGAUCCUAUUAUGCAACAAGAAAUUUUUGGACCAAUUUUGCCGAUGGUAACUGUAAAUAACGCUUAUGAAGCAAUAAAGUUUAUAAACGAGCGCAAUUGUCCACUUACGUUAUACGUAUUCACCAAAGACAAGGGUGUGAGUGAAUUAUUUGUAAAUCAGACUAGUAGCGGUGCCGUGUGCGUGAAUGACACGAUAAUGCAAUAUGCUGGGAGAAGCCUUUAGCGAUGUAUCUAUUUAGCAACAACAAAGCAGAUAUAUCAUUAAUUGUGCAGAAUACGUGUAGUGGUGGUUUGGCUGUUAAUGAUACGAUAAUGCAUAUCGCAGUUGAUACUUUACCGUUUGGUGGGGUCGGAGCGUCUGGCAUAGGCGCAUAUCAUGGAAAGUACACGUUUGAUACAUUCGUACACAAGAAAGGCUGUCUUACAAAAAAUUACAAUAAGUUGGUCGAAUAUUUGGGAUCAGCUCGUUAUCCGCCUUACACCGAGAAGAAGUUGUCCUUCUUGUCUUUAAUGAUGGCUAAGCGACCUGAUAUUCCAGGAAUUAAAUAUUUGCCACACUUGAUAAUGUUUGGUUUGGGUAUUGUCGCCACCAUCGGUGUUAAGGCAGCCCUUAAGGGUUCUGGUUACGAAGAGGAGCAGAUAUAGGAAGGUGUCUGAAUGUUAAUAGGAGCAUUCCGGAUUACAGCUUUUAUAUCCUCUUCUUAACAACAAUUAAGGAAGCAUGUUAACACCUUAAAUGAUAUUCUAAUUCGUCCACAUUGUGAUUAUUACAUUUCUGUUGUCACAGCAUUUUAUGGUGUUUUGACAAGUAUCCAAUAUGCAUAAUACAUAAUUUUAUAUUAUAUUUUUUAUCAAUGUACAUUUAAAACGUAAAGCAAGCACAUAGAUUACAAAGCGGCGAUAUGACAAUUAACCAAUAGUAUUGUGAAACAGUUAUAUUUGUAUCUUUCUAUAGCAAACAAAAUAAUUAUAUAUUUCGUGUUAUA